rnacentral:misc_RNA from 1 species
GAUGAAGAACGUAGUGAAAUGCGAUAAGUAAUGUGAAUUGCAGAAUUCAGUGAAUCAUCGAAUCUUUGAACGCACCUUGCACCCUUUGGCAUUCCGAAGGGUAUGCUCGUUUGAGUGUCAUUGUACUCUCACUCUCCCGAUGCUUUUGGAUCGGGAGUGGUGGACUUGGGUGUUGCUGCUUUGCUGUGGCUCGCCUCAAAUGGAGUAGUGCAACUCUUGGUUGGACAUAGUACGGCGUGAUAAGUGUCUUCGCCGGCGCCUCAUUACAGAGGGUGGCCGAUCGGGAGCUCUGUGCUUCAAACCGUCUUCGGACAACAUCUGACAACUUGACCUCAAAUCGAGUAGGACUACCCGCUGAACUUAAGCAUAUCAAUAAGCGGAGGA